GACGAAGGGGGCUAGCGUUGUUCGGAAUUACUGGGCGUAAAGCGCGUGUAGGCGGUUGCCCAAGUCGGGUGUGAAAACCUUGAGCUCAACUCAAGAAAUGCACUCGGUACUGGGUGACUAGAGGACCGGAGAGGAUAGUGGAAUUCCCAGUGUAGUGGUGAAAUACGUAGAGAUUGGGAAGAACACCAGUGGCGAAGGCGGCUAUCUGGACGGUUUCUGACGCUAAGACGCGAAAGCGUGGGGAGCAAACAGG
rnacentral:rRNA from 1 species